AAAAUUUUGCCUGCCACCUGAUGCAAAUGUUAAAUUCAAGGAUGCAACAGGGACAGAAAUUGAUGCAGAAGUAUUCAGUGAACUUGUUGGACAAGGGAAUUUGGUGGUGAAAGUCUUCUCAGAUGAUGGUAGGUUUCGAAGGUAUUAAAGCACACUCUCCAUGGUACAGAAUAAAAAUUUUAAAAAUUUUUCAUUCCUUUAGAAUUCUCUGCAAGUUCGUUGUGUUCUGGUUCUGAGAUAUCUGAUUCAAGCUUCAACUCAAAUUCGUCAACCGUAAUACUAGAUGAAGUCCCUAAUAAGAGACAGAGAUCUGAGGAUGGUGCAUUGUCCUCUAAACAGUUGAUUAAAAAUGUGCUUCAAAGCAAGUCUGGUGGUGAAAAGGUACUACAGGAGUACCAAACUACAGAAACCCUAACAAAUGCAACAAGAAGACAACUGGUUAACAUACUGGCGAAUCACAUGAUUGAUUCAUGGAAACACUUCUAUGAUGCUGCAAGUAGUACAGGUUACAUUUCUUGGCGUUCAAAGACAGUCCGAGGGAGGAUUUGUAAAGAAUCUGCACUGCAAACAAAAAGCUCCCCUGACACUUCUCCAGGAGGCCCAAAUUUUCGAAGAAUGUUUACUGUUGAAAGGCAGCUUGAUGGUGAUGCUUGCAAAGAGGCCAUGUCUUUG